ACUAACUUUGAUGGUAGGAUAGAGGCCUACCAUGGUGGUAACGGGUAACGGGGUGUUAGGGCACGACACCGGAGAGGGAGCCUGAGAAACGGCUACCACAUCCAAGGAUGGCAGCAGGCGCGCAAAUUACCCAAUCCCGACACGGGGAGGUAGUGACAAUAAAUAACAAUACGGGGUUCUUUCGGAUCUCGUAAUUGGAAUGAGUACAAUUUAAAUCUCUUAACGAGGAACAAUUGGAGGGCAAGUCUGGUGCCAGCAACCGCGGUAAUUCCAGCUCCAAUAGCGUAUAUUAAAGUUGUUGCAGUUAAAAAGCUCGUAGUUGAAUUUCGGGAUCAGAUUGUCGGUCGUGCCUCGGUACGCACUGGCAUUAUUGGUUCCUACCUUCUGAAGAACCGCGAUGUCAUUAAUUUGGUGUCGUGGGGAAUCAGGACUGUUACUUUGAAAAAAUUAGAGUGUUUAAAGCAGGCGCACGCUUGAAUACAUUAGCAUGGAAUAAUGAAAUAGGACGUUUGAUUCUAUUUUGUUGGUUUCUAGGAUUGACGUAAUGAUUAAUAGGGAUAGUUGGGGGCAUUAGUAUUCAAUUGUCAGAGGUGAAAUUCUUGGAUUUAUUGAAGACUAACUACUGCGAAAGCAUUUGCCAAGGAUGUUUUCAUUAAUCAAGAACGAAAGUUAGGGGAUCGAAGACGAUCAGAUACCGUCGUAGUCUUAACCAUAAACUAUGCCGACUAGGGAUCGGAUGAUGUUAAUUUUUUAAUGACUCAUUCGGCGCCUUACGGGAAACCAAAGUGUUUGGGUUC
rnacentral:rRNA from 1 species